GAAAGCCGUAUGAGGGAAAACCUCAAGUACGGUUUGAUGAGGAGGGGCUGGGCUAUUACCAGCCCUUUACUCUAGU
rnacentral:ncRNA from 1 species